rnacentral:rRNA from 1 species
GACGGAGGAUGAAAGUGUUAUCCGGAAUCACUGGGCGUAAAGCGUCUGUAGGUGGCUUAAUAAGUCAACUGUUAAAUCUUAAAGCUUAACUUUAAAAUCGCAGUCGAAACUAUUAGGCUAGAGUAUAGUAGGGGUAAAGGGAAUUUCCAGUGGAGCGGUGAAAUGCGUAGAGAUUGGAAAGAACACCGAUGGCGAAGGCACUUUACUGGGCUAUUACUAACACUCAGAGACGAAAGCUAGGGUAGCAAAUGGG